UUAUAUAUUUAGGGGACAUAUCAUAUGAGAAUGCCUUUUAUAUAUGAGAAUGAUAAAAAUAAAUUAUAACCAUUAGAUUAAAAUGAAUGGUUGAUACUCUAUCUAAUUCACCUUUUAGUUCUUCGCUUGAUGUCAUGGAUUAUGCACCAUAAUCUUAUAAUUAUCAAAUUCAAUUCUACAAAACCAACUUCUUUGUAAUUCCAUAACAAGAAGAAGAAUUAUUGUGAAAAAUCUAUAAUUGAAUUUCUUUUCUUCCACGAUCCCAAGACAAGGAAAUAUACUCACUACAUUGAUCAUAGUAGAUGCAACAAAAUAAAAUAAAAAUAUUGAACAAUGAAAAAUUAAGUUUUAUCGACAUAGGAAACUGGGUUCAUGUUAUACUUGUGCAGUGAUUUUUUAGCUUCUUCUAACUUCUAGCUACGGAUUCAAGAUUUUUAGUUACGGACAGAAACUGGUUUUUCUUUUAUUAUCCACUUUUUUUUUACUAUUGAUUUUCUUUCCGCUAUCCAUAAUUUGAUUCCGAAACUUCAAAACCUCGUCAAUAUAAGGAUUCAUGAUGAUAUCAAAUGUUGUAAUUUUGAUAAGGAUUAUUGAUUGAUGAUUAGUAACAAAUUACUCCGUCCCACAAUGAGUGAGUCAGUUGACUGUGUCACGCAUGUCAAUGCAUAACUUUGACGAUUAAUAUUUUUAAUUGUAUAAUAGUAAAAAUUAUAAAAAUAUGAUAUUUUGAAAAUACUCAUCGAGAUGAAUUCAACAUCUUAUAUGCUAAUAUUUGUUUUUAUUUACUAGUAGAAAAAUAGGGUCAAAGUAAAAUAUGUUAAUAGUAUAUAGUCAAAAUGACUUACUCAUUUUGGAACGUUAAUCUUAGGCCGAAGGAAUUAAAGGAUCUCCUCACAAC
rnacentral:lncRNA from 1 species